AUACAUGCAAGUCGAGCGGACCGACGGGAGCUUGCUCCCUUAGGUCAGCGGCGGACGGGUGAGUAACACGUGGGUAACCUGCCUGUAAGACUGGGAUAACUCCGGGAAACCGGGGCUAAUACCGGAUGCUUGAUUGAACCGCAUGGUUCAAUCAUAAAAGGUGGCUUUUAGCUACCACUURCAGAUGGACCCGCGGCGCAUUAGCUAGUUGGUGAGGUAACGGCUCACCAAGGCGACGAUGCGUAGCCGACCUGAGAGGGUGAUCGGCCACACUGGGACUGAGACACGGCCCAGAYUCCUACGGGAGGCAGCAGUAGGGAAUCUUCCGCAAUGGACGAAAGUCUGACGGAGCAACGCCGCSUGAGUGAUGAAGGUUUUCGGAUCGUAAAACUCUGUUGUUAGGGAAGAACAAGUACCGUUCGAAUAGGGCGGUACCUUGACGGUACCUAACCAGAAAGCCACGGCUAACUACGUGCCAGCAGCCGCGGUAAUACGUAGGUGGCAAGCGUUGUCCGGAAUUAUUGGGCGUAAAGCGCGCGCAGGCGGUUUCUUAAGUCUGAUGUGAAAGCCCCCGGCUCAACCGGGGAGGGUCAUUGGAAACUGGGGAACUUGAGUGCAGAAGAGGAGAGUGGAAUUCCACGUGUAGCGGUGAAAUGCGUAGAGAUGUGGAGGAACACCAGUGGCGAAGGCGACUCUCUGGUCUGUAACUGACGCUGAGGCGCGAAAGCGUGGGGAGCGAACAGGAUUAGAUACCCUGGUAGUCCACGCCGUAAACGAUGAGUGCUAAGUGUUAGAGGGUUUCCGCCCUUUAGUGCUGCAGCAAACGCAUUAAGCACUCCGCCUGGGGAGUACGGUCGCAAGACUGAAACUCAAAGGAAUUGACGGGGGCCCGCACAAGCGGUGGAGCAUGUGGUUUAAUUCGAAGCAACGCGAAGAACCUUACCAGGUCUUGACAUCCUCUGACAACCCUAGAGAUAGGGCUUCCCCUUCGGGGGCAGAGUGACAGGUGGUGCAUGGUUGUCGUCAGCUCGUGUCGUGAGAUGUUGGGUUAAGUCCCGCAACGAGCGCAACCCUUGAUCUUAGUUGCCAGCAUUCAGUUGGGCACUCUAAGGUGACUGCCGGUGACAAACCGGAGGAAGGUGGGGAUGACGUCAAAUCAUCAUGCCCCUUAUGACCUGGGCUACACACGUGCUACAAUGGGCAGAACAAAGGGCAGCGAAGCCGCGAGGCUAAGCCAAUCCCACAAAUCUGUUCUCAGUUCGGAUCGCAGUCUGCAACUCGACUGCGUGAAGCGGAAUCGCUAGUAAUCGCGGAUCAGCAUGCCGCGGUGAAUACGUUCCCGGGCCUUGUACACACCGCCCGUCACACCACGAGAGUUUGUAACACCCGAAGUCGGUGAGGUAACCUUUGGAGCCAGCCGCCGAA
rnacentral:rRNA from 1 species